CUGGACGUCCCAGAAAGUGAAUAACUUGGUUUAACCAAAGAAUUGGUACAGCAGAGGCAGCAGCAAUGCAUGCUUCUCCACAUUACCCUGCCAACCUUCCUCAGCUGUGACUGGAAGGCUGUGUUGCCUGAGGUUCUACAGUUGCGGACUUAAUCAAAAAUCCCACAACU
ensembl:misc_RNA